GACGAACGCUGGCGGUGUGCUUAACACAUGCAAGGGGCGCGACGAACCAGAGCAUGCUCUGGGGCAAAGCCGCGAACGGGUGAGUAACACGUGGGUAACCUGCCCCGAUGACUGGGACAACCCGGGGAAACCCGGGCUAAUACCGGAUGAUGCAUCCCGGCUCAACCCGGGAUGCCCACGGGAGCUUCGGCGUGCGCAUCGGGCGGGCCCCGCGGGCCAUUAGCCUGUUGGUGGGGUAAUGGCCCACCAAAGCAACGGUGGGUAGCUGGUCUGAGAGGACGAUCAGCCACACUGGGACUGAGACACGGCCCAGACUCCUACGGGAGGAAGCAGUGGGGAAUCUUGCGCAAUGCGCGAAAGCGUGACGCAGCAACACCGCGUGAGGGAAGACGGCCUUAGGGUUGUAAACCUCUUUCAGUUGGGACGAAGGUUCGACGGUGAAUAGCCGGCCGGACUGACGGUACCUUCAGAAGAAGCUCCGGCUAACUACGUGCCAGCAGCCGCGGUAA
rnacentral:rRNA from 1 species